rnacentral:rRNA from 1 species
UACGUAGGGUGCGAGCGUUGUCCGGAAUUAUUGGGCGUAAAGAGCUCGUAGGCGGUCUGUCGCGUCGAUCGUGAAAACUUGGGGCUUAACCCUGAGCUUGCGGUCGAUACGGGCAUGACUGGAGUUCGGCAGGGGAGACUGGAAUUCCUGGUGUAGCGGUGAAAUGCGCAGAUAUCAGGAGGAACACCGGUGGCGAAGGCGGCCAUCUGGACCAGCACUGACGCUGAGGCACGAAAGCGUGGGGAGCAAACAGG